rnacentral:rRNA from 1 species
AUUGAACGCUGGCGGCAGGCCUAACACAUGCAAGUCGAGCGGAGCGGCGGACGGGUGAGUAAUACCUAGGAAUCUGCCUGGUAGUGGGGGAUAACGUUCGGAAACGGACGCUAAUACCGCAUACUAUCAGAUGAGCCUAGGUCGGAUUAGCUAGUUGGUGGGGUAAUGGCCUACCAAGGCUACGAUCCGUAACUGGUCUGAGAGGAUGAUCAGUCACACUGGAACUGAGACACGGUCCAGACUCCUACGGGAGGCAGCAGUGGGGAAUAUUGGACAAUGGGCGAAAGCCUGAUCCAGCCAUGCCGCGUGUGUGAAGAAGGUCUUCGGAUUGUAAAGCACUUUAAGUUGGGAGGCGUUACCGACAGAAUAAGCACCGGCUAACUCCGUGCCAGCAGCCGCGGUAAUAC